rnacentral:rRNA from 1 species
AUUGAACGCUGGCGGAAUGCUUUACACAUGCAAGUCGAACGGCAGCACGGACUUCGGUCUGGUGGCGAGUGACGAACGGGUGAGUAAUGUAUCGGAACGUGCCCAGUCGUGGGGGAUAACGUAGUGAAAAUUACGCUAAUACCGCAUACGAUCUAUGGAUGAAAGCGGGAGAUCGCAAGACCUCGCGCGAUUGGAGCGGCCGACAUCAGAUUAGGUAGUUGGUGGGGUAAAGGCCCACCAAGCCAACGAUCUGUAGCUGGUCUGAGAGGACGACCAGCCACACUGGAACUGAGACACGGUCCAGACUCCUACGGGAGGCAGCAGUGGGGAAUUUUGGACAAUGGGCGAAAGCCUGAUCCAGCCAUUCCGCGUGCAGGAUGAAGGCCCUCGGGUUGUAAACUGCUUUCGUACAGAACGAAAAGGUUUCUACUAAUACUAGGAGCUCAUGACGGUACUGUAAGAAUAAGCACCGGCUAACUACGUGCCAGCCGCCGCAGUAA